rnacentral:lncRNA from 1 species
GUGUUUGCUGCCCCCUUGUGGUCUCCGGGUGCUGUGGCUCCUGGUCCCUUUCCAACGGCCUGCCGGCCACACGACCUGCGCAGUCUCCGGCGUCUUAAACUCGGCAUGUCCGAACGAAGUCUGAAACCGGGAGUCAUCCCAGACUCUUCCCUCCUUCUCCGUCUGAACAGUCGCCAACUCCUCACCGAACCUACCUCCUAAUAUCUCCCAACUUAAUCUACUUUUCUCCAUUCCCACUGCCACUUCUCUGGUUCAUUCUUUCAACAAGUCAUUUAACAGAUAUUUGAGGGCCUGUUAUACGCCGGGCACCGUACGCGUCUCCGUGGGCACGCGCCUGGGACCCUGUGGCCUGGAGGCACCAGGGCUUGUGGCCCGAUGUCGCCACCCCCUACUGCAGCCAGAGAGCAGUGCGUAGGACUGGUUUGGCCCCUGAUGAAAGACCCCCCCCCCCGCCCCCUCGUGGCUGGCCAGUGCCUACAGGAUGAGGUCGAAGCUGACAAUUCGGUGACCAGGCUCUCGUCGCGCAGCAGCAGCCCCUCCAGCGGAACCUCUCGUCCCGGUCCAGAGCGAACCCCGCCGCCUCGCCGUUGUGACUGCGGCGUGCUCAGCCGGCAACGCCAGCCCUGCCACCUUCUAACGGACAAACCCUCCCCGCCCUCCGGACGCGGGACCCCGCCGACGGCCGCUCCUCUCCGCCCAGCAGGGCGCCCCUCGCCGGGCGUAACCGCGGACCGCGCGUGUGCGCAGGGUCGCAGGUCGCCGGCCGGCCUGUUUUCCCGCGGAGGCCCCGCCCCACGGCCCUCAGGCCCCGCCCCGCCCGGCGCGCGCGGCCCCGCGGCUUCGGCGCGCUCCCGGCCCGCGCGCCAUCUUGCCUCCAGGCCGAGCUCGAGGCGUGCCGGGCCGCGCGCGGGCAUCGAGAGGACCUUCGCCCGGCCGUAAGCAGGAUGGAGCACUACCGGAAAGCUGGCUCUGUGGAACUCCCGGCACCUUCCCCGAUGCCCCAGCUACCUCCUGAUACCCUGGAGAUGCGGGUCCGAGAUGGCAGCAAAAUCCGAAACUUGCUGGGGCUGGCACUGGGUCGGUUGGAGGGCGGCAGCGCCCGGCAUGUGGUGUUCUCAGGUUCUGGCCGGGCUGCCGGGAAGGCUGUCAGCUGUGCUGAGAUUGUCAAGCGGCGGGUACCAGGCCUGCACCAGCUUACCAAGCUACGCUUCCUGCAGACUGAGGACAGCUGGGUGCCAACCUCACCCGACACAGGUCUAGAUCCUCUCACGGUGCGCCGUCAUGUGCCUGCGGUGUGGGUACUGCUCAGCAGGGACCCCCUGGACCCCAAUGAGUGUGGCUACCAGCCCCCCGGGGCACCCCCUGGCCUGGGCUCCACACCUGGCUCCAGCUGUGGCCCCCGACCCCGAAGAAAGGCUCGAGACACCCGCUCCUGAGGACCUGCUGAACAAGCUCUUCUCCAGGCCUGAAGGUCUAGGAUGGCUGUGCCUUCUCUCAGAAGCCCCUGUAACUGCUCGUCAUCUCCAUCAAGACUUGAAUGCACAGAAAUGGGCCUCUCUGUCCUCUUUCCCCUUCCCUCUGGCGUGUGGAAAGAGACUGCUAUGAAGAGUGACAG